rnacentral:lncRNA from 1 species
AAUUUCACUAAUGCAUAACAAUGGACAGUAAGAGAUUAUCUAGUGAUAAUACUCUAUUGCUUAAAAUUUGUAUUUCUUAUUAUUAGUUUGUAUGUUUGUGUCUUAUAAUAUGUUUGUAAUCCCAUCUAUACACAUGCCAGCAAACACUGUGUUCUCUUUUUUUACAUAGUAAAUAUGAAAAAAGAAACCACUCCUGACUAAUUUAUAUGUAUCUCUUACCCUCAGGUCAAGAUCAUUUAAAAGGAUCUUAUUAGUUAACAAGGCAUGGUAGUACUAGAAGACAUCUUUGGCUUUUCAAAGGUCACUACAUUUAGUAAAAACCUAUCUCAUAGUCCUGUGAUAUCAGGUCAGUGAGCCAACUACAGUGUCAGUAGCUGAAUAGCCAGAAGCUUGGACUUUAGCUGAGGGUCUGAACUAAAUUUAUUAGCAUGUUUUGCAAGAUUCUUUUCAUUUCUUUCCCCUUGUAACAUUCUCAUUUUCUAACACUGUAAGUUAAAUAGUAGUGGAAAGUGUUUUGUUUUGAAAAAUGAAUGAAAAACUGGGCUCUGCUUUAAAUGUCUUAACAGAGCCAUGGCAAGGCUAGCUAAGAAGUAUAUAACACCAAAGGAAGACAUGAUUUUACUUUUCUAUUAAGGCAAUAAAAACCUUUCUGUAACCAAAUGACAAGUUUUUCUCUCUUUGACCUCAAAAAGACUUAGAUAUAGCUUGCACCAUCUCCUGUAAGAACAGUGACUGUCAGCUUAUUUUAAUUACAUUUACUUUCUAGAAAUUGAAUUCUGGGGAUGCAUAAAUGGGCAGUUUCCUUGUGGCUCACCCAGAUAGGGUGAUCAUAUAAUUUAAUGUACAUAGUGAGACCUUAUGGAAGUAAAAGCGGGUAUUAUAAAUAGUUACUGCGAGAAUAGAGAAAUACGGACUUUGCUGUAUAAACUAAGACAUUCAUUCCCUGCCUCUAGAUAGGAAGGACCUAACAGUAGCAAAGUCAAUCUAACAAAAUCAAACAUACGGGUUUAAGUCAGCUUACUUGGCACACUUACCAGUCUUUAACUUUCAAAGAUCUUUACUGCACAAUGAUAAAAAAUUAUAGUUAAAUUAUAUCAUUUGUUAUAAUUUGAAAACAGAAGCAUAAGUACCAUCCACAGGCAAAAAAUUGGGCCAAGAGAAAGCAAACAAAUUAAUUGGAGCUAGGAUAUUCUAAUAGUAAUUAAAAAAAAACAAAAGAAAAUGUUUUAAAGCAAAACAAAAUACUUAAACUACAUGUUUUAAUAAGGGUAUAAAAUAAUUCUAGAGAUGGGCAUGAAACAAAGUAAGAAGGCAGAGAAUGUGAAGUUUCAGCUAUUCUGGCUACAGCACAGGCUACACUGAUAAGUGGAGGCACAGACAGUCCCAGCCAUCAGUCCUAUGGGAUCCCACUGUAUCUCACCCAUUGCAGGGUAUGGCACAGUAAAUGCCAACCUGUAUGGGUAUGGAAUAAGCAAUACUUCCAACGGUAAGUUAACACACACAGAAUUCAUAAUUUUUCUUUAACAAUUCUUAUUCUAUCCUCCAAUACAGAGCUUUGAUGAAUGCAGGAGCAUUUUUGUGUGGUUAACCAUACUGGCCCUUGCCUGGACAAUACCUACAUAGUGACUUGUAUUACAGCUAAACAGCCAUCUACUUAGUAAUGAUCGUUUCUUCUACCAUCUCAUUUCUGGUUCCGCUUAAAGUUAAGUUUCAGUCUUUCCGAGUGUGCAAAAUCCCCCUCCAGUGAUGGAUCUUAAGCUAAGUUCUCAACUCAUACCCUGCAGUAAAAUUCCACAAGUAUCUGAUGUCUCAGAACCUCCCACAAGUGUGUAAUUCUCUCGACCAUUACCUUUCCCUUCUCUCUCGGGGAGGGUGUGACUAGUAGUUACCAAGGAUGACUACUUCAUUGCCUUACUGGAAAGAAAGUAAGAGUGUUUGGACAGGUACUUUGUGAAACAUGUUGCUGAUUAAGAACUCUCUGGAACAAACAAACAAACAAACUCACAGUAGGGCACAACACACACACACACACACACACAUACACACACACACACACACACAGAGACAUGACAGUAAGAAGGGACUUAGGAAGAAGGGAUUUGAUGAUAGAUGAAAUGGGAUAACAGAGGAUAAUGGGAAGGGAUUUUGCUCAAAGAGCAUUAUAUGCAUACUGAUGAAAGUAUAGAAGAGUAAAUGAAACAAAAAUAAAAAGAAGGAACUGUCAGAGCAUGUUUGAGCUCAGCAUGAUAUAAGAAGUGAACACAACCAGGAAACUCUAAGCAGUAUUUACUUCCCUCAGUUCAUGUGGCUAAACAAGUCCAAGAUGGAAAGGCCAGACUCCUGCUGAGGAACCUCUACUGGUUUGCAGAUUGGUAUUCUGUAUUUCCACAUGGCAGAGAGCAGAGAACUGGGCUAGGUAAAGUCAACCUUUCACCUAUUCUACAAGACCUGCUGUAGCCUGGGUGACAGCACCUUAGAUAAUACAAACACAAUGGCACUUGCUCUAACAGAUAGCACAUUCUCCAAUCAGAGUUAGGUCUACUUCAAUCAACAACAUAAAAGAGCCACUAAGACACACACUAAAAGUCUAUAUCUGAAUAGUUUUCUGAGGACUCAAGAUAGAAAUAAAUAAAUAACAAACUCAACACUAAUAUUUAAAGCUAAUUUCUAGGUCCCGAUUUUUUGAAACCCCUGGUGGAAAAAAAAAUAAGUUUAACUUUUAAACAAUUUUGCGACUAACUCAUGACUUACUGUCAUUACAUUUUUCAAUCUGACAAGAAACUUUUUUUUUAAUUAUUAUUAUCGGGGUGUUUUUUACCUGGAGAUGCAAAUUCUUAGCCUAGAGAUCCCAGAUUCUCUAAAAAGCAGACCUGACAAACUGGUCCUGAUGACUGCAGUGAACUUUCCCCUCCUUGGACUCUAUACACUGUGUAGAAAGGGAUGAAUUUCAUACUUGCCUCAGCUCUUCCCACCCUGUGUCAAUAUAGACUGAUAUUCGUUCGUUGUGCUUGUAUUGCUUUUAAACACCCAUGCAAUACUGGUUUAGAUACACAAUAGCAUGUAGUAUAAUGGCCAAGUUCACUCCCAUAGUACUCAAAUGCUUUCUAAAAUUGACCCUAGAAAGGGUCCAUAUCUUACAGGCAAACAUAUCAAAGCCAGCUGUAGUCAUGAUGUUGUGCUUCCCCAGGGAGGGUCCUUGCACUCUCAAAUUUCCUUGAUGGAGUGGACCACAGUUUGCCAAACAAUAGCAAUGAGAUCUCUAGAGAUACAAUAGGUUUUUGUUAAAACAAAACAAAAAUGGCAUCUCAGAAGAUGUAGAAAUGUAUUGUUUUGCCUUCUUAAUGUAAAUAUUCUAAUGGAUUCUAGGUGCAAAUUUGCAUGGAUUUACAUUUCCACUCUCUGGAAGUGCAUGGCAAGGAGAGCUGAACACAAUACAACAAUUUCUCAUGAGUCUUAAAAAAUUGUUUUUACAUAAUUUUAUUCAACUUAACUCUGGUGCAAAUGAAAAGCUUUGUAAAGAAAAGUCAGUAAUAUAUUUAUUGUGAGUAAAAUGACAGUAAAUGAAAAUGUGGAUGAAUAAAUGGCAUAAAUAUC